GGGGGCAUAGCUCAGCUGGGAGAGCGGUGCGUUCGCAACGCACAGGUCAUGGGUUCAAGUCCCACUGUCUCCA
rnacentral:tRNA from 1 species